UAGCAGAAAAAUGGUAUUCCUUAAUGUAGCUUGCACCAGCAGAGUCAAGGUCAUGAGACAGACUCUUACUUUCCUUUUGGUCAUUUUCGCCUGUUUUCUUUCCAUGAUAUCCCCUUACAUAAUAUAUGGUGGGUAGUGAGUGUAUGAAAAACACC